rnacentral:rRNA from 1 species
AGCGAACGCUGGCGGCAGGCCUAACACAUGCAAGUCGAACGAACCCUUCGGGGUUAGUGGCGGACGGGUGAGUAACACGUGGGAACGUGCCCUUUGUUCGGAACAACUCAGGGAAACUUGAGCUAAUACCGGAUGUGCCCCCUCCUUUGACUAGGGGGCGGGAAGAUUAUCGCCAUUGGAGCGGCCCGCGUCUGAUUAGCUAGUUGGUGGGGUAAGGCCCACCAAGGCUUCGAUCAGUAGCUGGUCGUGAGAGGAUGAUCAGCCACAUUGGGACUGAGACACGGCCCAAACUCCUACGGGAGG